GAUGAACGCUGGCGGCGUGCCUAAUACAUGCAAGUCGAGCGAACAGACGAGGAGCUUGCUCCUCUGACGUUAGCGGCGGACGGGUGAGUAACACGUGGAUAACCUACCUAUAAGACUGGGAUAACUUCGGGAAACCGGAGCUAAUACCGGAUAAUAUAUUGAACCGCAUGGUUCAAUAGUGAAAGACGGUUUUGCUGUCACUUAUAGAUGGAUCCGCGCCGCAUUAGCUAGUUGGUAAGGUAACGGCUUACCAAGGCAACGAUGCGUAGCCGACCUGAGAGGGUGAUCGGCCACACUGGAACUGAGACACGGUCCAGACUCCUACGGGAGGCAGCAGUAGGGAAUCUUCCGCAAAGGGCGAAAGCCUGACGGAGCAACGCCGCGUGAGUGAUGUAGGUCUUCGGAUCGUAAAACUCUGUUAUUAGGGAAGAACAAAUGUGUAAGUAACUAUGCACGUCUUGACGGUACCUAAUCAGAAAGCCACGGCUAACUACGUG
rnacentral:rRNA from 1 species